rnacentral:misc_RNA from 1 species
ACAAAAACAUCAUGAUUCAUCAUUGAAAGGUUUAGACUAGGCCUGAAGGCUAGUAAUAAUCGUUUAUUCUGUAGUAUUUUAAAAGAAAUAUUUGGUUUUAACUAUGGUAUCCAUUUUAAAAUUUGUUCAUUGUGAAUCUGCAGAGAUUUUUUGUUUCAAUAUACCGGCAGAAUGCCCGAUCUGCGGAGCUGAUUUGUCAUCACGUCUUCGUAGCCCUCCCAUAGCAAUCCCAACUCCAUUUGUGAACGGGACAAAUAUACCCUGUUCUGUGCUCGUCAAACCGACGGUUGGUGGCUUCCUGAGAGAUUAUAAAAAUGGUUCAAAUUUGCAUACAGGUGUAUCUGAUUCAAAAGGUUGUAUAUUUAACUAUGAUGAGGAUGGUAUGCACUUGGAUACAGAUUCCAACAGCUGGAAAGAUAGUCUAGCAAUACCAGUUGUAGAUCUUGUUGAUGAGGAGCUUAAAGACGUCUGGGAUAAGAGGCUACAUUCAAUGGCGACUCAGUCAAGUUGGCAGGCAACUAGGUAUCACCCGGAUUUACACAACUGUUUUGAUUUUGUUGUUAACUUCUUGAACUGUGUUGAGUUUAACGUUUGGAAUGAAAAGAGCAAUGAACCGAUCACACGGACUCAAUUUUCAACUGCAUAUAUCCUACCGGCCACGAGCAGGGCAGCACGAUACAUAGGACUAUAUCGUAGCAUUCAGCUUCAUGGCUCAGUCACUCACAAAUGAUUGGAUUGGAUUUAUUUGGUUUGAAUGUAAUGAAUGACCCACAAAGUUCUGAAAUCUUAAUUCCAGUGUUGUCCUUCUGGUGGUGAUUGUGCAGUACACCGGUAUACUUUAACCUGUACAUGGGCCAUAUUACACACAGAAUCAACACUUCGAAUGUCUCAUCCAAAAGAUAGUGCACUUUUUUAUAUUCCAACUGAAGCCCAAGGAGGGCAGCAGAUAGAAUUAAAAACCGGGUACAACAGGUUAAAUGGAUUUCCACGGUUCAGCGAACACACUGUGGCUACUGCUAAUCUAGCAGACUGGAGUACUCGGUGGCACUUUGUGGUGUGCCUAAAAAGGAAAGCGUGGGGGAUGAAUUCGUCAGAAGAAUAUUGUGAUAUUAACUAACACCCCCCACCUGCCCAAAAGUUGCUGAGAAAACAAAUUACACACAGUGUAAGUAAAUCCUUGCCGAGCCACUAAGGCCCUUUGGGCUGGGGCUUAUCCCCAGUUUCAAGUAGCGUGAAGCAGAUGGGAGUGUGAUGCCCUACCUGGUGGGGAUGCUAGUCCACUGCAGGAUACUCCCAGCAAUAUGCUGGUAUCCACUGAUACACCUAGGGUGGACUGAAGCAAUGUACAAAGUUCCUUGGACACAAGCGAAAUGCACAGCAAAGGAUUGAAACCCCCGACCUUGAGGUGUAAAAACCAAACCGCCUCUAGUGUACCUCAUAUCAAUUCAUUCCCCUUAACUUGUUCGAGAUAUACCACUGAUCACAUUAAACAGAUGAAAUAAUAACACUUUCUUCUGAUUGAUGUGUUCUUUCAGUGUUUUAAAUGACACAAAUGAAGAAGUCGCAAGAUAUUAAUAGUCAAAUGUUAAACUUCAUAUAAUUUAAUCUGAUCAACUGUAAAAUAAUGAUAUCAAAUACAGUACAAAUGUAGAUGUAUGUACUUUUAUUAAAAACUGAGAAAAUGUCAUCGCAAA